UACGAAGGGGGCUAGCGUUGUUCGGAAUCACUGGGCGUAAAGCGUGCGCAGGCGGUUCGUUGUGUCGGCGGUGAAAGCCCCGGGCUUAACCUGGGAAUGGCCGUUGAAACUGGCGAACUGGAGUGUGGCAGAGGGGGGUGGAAUUCCGCGUGUAGCAGUGAAAUGCGUAGAGAUGCGGAGGAACACCGAUGGCGAAGGCAGGUCACUGGGCCGCAACUGACGCUGAGGAGCGAAAGCAUGGGGAGCGAACAGG
rnacentral:rRNA from 1 species